rnacentral:rRNA from 1 species
UCCGGAGGGGGCAAGCGUUGUCCGGAUUCACUGGGUGUAAAGGGCGCGCAGGCGGGUUAGCAAGUCAGAGGUGAAAUCCUACAGCUUAACUGUAGAACUGCCUUUGAAACUGUUAAUCUUGAGUGCGGAAGAGAGAGACGGAAUUCCAGGUGUAGCGGUGAAAUGCGUAGAUAUCUGGAAGAACACCAGUUGCGAAGGCGGUCUCUUGGUCCGUUACUGACGCUCAGGCGCGCAAGCUUGGGGAGCAAACAGG